rnacentral:rRNA from 1 species
CCGUCAAUUCAUUUGAGUUUCAACCUUGCGGCCGUACUCCCCAGGCGGAGAACUUAUCGCGUUAGCUACGACACCGAUUUGCUAAGCAAACCAACGUCAAGUUCUCAUCGUUUACGGCGUGGACUACCAGGGUAUCUAAUCCUGUUUGCUACCCACGCUUUCGUGCCUCAGCGUCAAAACAGGCCCAGGAGGCUGCCUUCGCCAUCGGUGUUCUUCCAGAUAUCUACGCAUUUCACCGCUACACCUGGAGUUCCACCUCCCUCUACCGUUUUCUAGUCUGACAGUAUCGACCGCAAUUCCUAGGUUGAGCCCAGGGCUUUCACAAUCGACUUAUCAAACCGCCUACGCACGCUUUACGCCCAGUAAAUCCGAUUAACGCUAGCACCCUCUGUAUUACCGCGGCUGCUGGCACAGAGUUAGCCGGUGCUUAUUCUGUCGGUACCGUCAAGACUUCACGUAUUAAGUAAAGUUUUUUCUUCCCAACUUAAAGUGCUUUACAACCCGAAGGCCUUCUUCACACACGCGGUAUUGCUGGAUCAGGCUUUCGCCCAUUGUCCAAUAUUCCCCACUGCUGCCUCCCGUAGGAGUCCGGACCGUGUCUCAGUUCCGGUGUGACUGAUCAUCCUCUCAGACCAGUUACGGAUCGUAGCCUUGGUGAGCCAUUACCUCACCAACUAGCUAAUCCGACGUAGGUUCCUCCAAAAGCGAGAGGCCUUGCGGUCCCCCUCUUUGCUCUUGCGAGAUCAUGCGGUAUUAAUCCGGGUUUCCCCGGGUUAUCCCCCACUUAAGGGCAGAUCCCUACGUAUUCCUCACCCGUCCGCCACUAGGUAUUGCUACCUCGUUCGACUUGCAUGUGUUAGGCCUG